rnacentral:tRNA from 1 species
GCGCCUGCAGCUUAGUUUGGAUUGAGCGUGCGGUUCCUAACCUCAAGAUCGGGGGUUCAAAUCCUCCCAGGCGCG